AUCUCUCAACACUAAUCAGACUUUGUUCUGUGAUGUGUUUGGAUCAUGAAGGCUGCUGGCAAAUUUUGUCUGCUCCUUUUAAAUGUAUUAGUGGGACUGUUGUUUAUCAGCUCCAGUUUGAUAAAUAUCUUAUCUGUGCUGUUGCUGAGGAACCAAAUUCUGCUUAGUAUUGUCUUCGGACUGUCCAGUCAUGGGCAUUUUGAU
rnacentral:misc_RNA from 1 species